rnacentral:lncRNA from 1 species
UGACAUUAUUGGUCGUCUAGUUUUGAACAAGUCUAUACGUAAUUAAGAUACUGGCCACCAUUCAUAUUAAAAUAUAUAUGGGCGGGGUAAUCUUAUAUAAAAGGCCAUGCAUUUUCCUUUUACACUGCGAUGGUAGAAACAAAAGCUAAUAUGGGUUUCAAUUCAUAUUUGCUCACUUUCAUCUUGAUCAGUAGCCUGCUACUUCCACAUUCAACUUGCAUGGCCGUGGCUACUGAAGCUGGUUCUGUGUCUUACAAGUUGAAAGUAGUGUCGAAGAGAACAUUUAGAACUUUGCCGCCAUCUCCGAAGACAAACCCUCCAAGUCGCUGGGUACCCGUUCUUCCUCCGCCAGGGUUAUAGCCGCUGUCAUCGCCAAUUGUUCCUCUAUAAUCAGUGCUAUCCUUCUCUUCGAUAUCAUCUUGGCUUGUUAUUUUGUAUCCUUUUAAUACUUUUGAUGUAAUAAAGUUUUGAGAUUGAGACAUUUACAACACCUCCCAUCCCCACAACAGCUUUUAGGCUUUACCACUUACGCCAUUCAGUUUUCAAAAUGCCACGUUGCGACUUUGAUGUCAAUUCUUAUUUUAAAUAUGUUUGUUUUAUGGUUGGGAUGAGUUUUUCGGUGAAAUGUUUUGAUAUAUAAAAGGUAAUAUAGUAUUAUGAAGAUUGCCGAGUAUUAGUAGUAAAACCUAAACGCUACUAAGGGGAAAGAUGUAAUUCUCCCUUGUAUUGUAAUGUACACACUCUUGAUCUUCUUGAAUAAUUGAUGGAGC